GAUGAACGCUAGCGGCAGGCUUAACACAUGCAAGUCGAGGGGCAGCGCGGGAUAGCAAUAUCCUGGCGGCGACCGGCGGAAGGGUGCGUAACGCGUGAGCGACAUGCCCGUUGCCCGGGGACAACCGGUGGAAACGCCGACUAAUCCCCGAUGGGAUAUUGUGCCGCAUGGCACGAUAUUGAAAGUUACGGCGGCGACGGAUUGGCUCUCGUCCGAUUAGCUUGUUGGCGGGGUAACGGCCCACCAAGGCUGCGAUCGGUAGGGGUUCUGAGAGGAAGGCCCCCCACAAUGGGACUGAGACACGGCCCAUACUCCUACGGGAGGCAGCAGUGAGGAAUAUUGGUCAAUGGGCGGAAGCCGGAACCAGCCAUGCCGCGUGCGGGAAGGAGGCCCUAUGGGCUGUGAACCGCUUUUGCCUGGGGGCAAUAAGGGCGUCGCGCACGUCCGAUGAGAGUACCAGGCGAAUAAGCAUCGGCUAACUCCGUG
rnacentral:rRNA from 1 species